AGAGUUGUGGCUCAGUGGUAGAGCAUCUGCUCGGCAUGCAGAAGGUCCCCAGUUCAGUCUCCUGCAUCUCUGGGCAGGCCUG